AUUGAACGCUGGCGGCAGGCCUAACACAUGCAAGUCGAGCGCGCGCCGGGCGGGUGAGUAAUAUCUGGGAAGAUGCCUGAUGGAGGGGGAUAACUACUGGAAAAGGUAGCUAAUACCCCAUACAAUCACAGGUGCCCAGAUGGGAUUAGCACGGAGGUGGGGGAACGGCUCACCGAGGCGACGAUCCCUAGCUGGUCUGAGAGGAUGACCAGCCACACUGGAACUGAGACACGGCCCAGACGCCGACGGGAGGCAGCAGUGGGGAAUAUUGCACAAUGGGCGCAAGCCUGAUGCAGCCAUGCCGCGUGUGUGAAGAAGGCCUUCGGGUUGUAAAGUACUUUCAGCGGGGAGGCGUUACCCGCAGAAGAAGCACCGGCUAACUCCGUGCCAGCAGCCGCGGUAAUAC
rnacentral:rRNA from 1 species